UACAGAGGGUGCGAGCGUUAAUCGGAAUUACUGGGCGUAAAGCGCGCGUAGACGGUUUUGUAAGUCAGAUGUGAAAUCCCUGGGCUCAACCUGGGAACUGCAUUUGAAACUGCAUGGCUAGAGUAUCGAAGAGGGAAGUGGAAUUUCCGGUGUAGCGGUGAAAUGCGUAGAUAUCGGAAGGAACGCCGGUGGCGAAAGCGACGUGCUGGAUCUCUUCUGACGCUGAGGCGCGAAAGCUAGGGGGGAGCGAACGGG
rnacentral:rRNA from 1 species